GUGAUGGGCGCGGGAGAGAGUCGCGGGAGGAGAAACGGGCCUCCGCCGGCGACCGCCGAAGGUGAAAGGUUCGGGACGAGACGAGUCCCGGCCGAAUCUCUCAGGCAGAAGGACCGCGACCGGAGG
rnacentral:ncRNA from 1 species